rnacentral:misc_RNA from 1 species
AACGCGAAUGGCACUGCUAUGUAAAUAGUAGUAUGUCUGUUUGAGAAUCGCAAACACGAUCAACUCUAGUUAGAGUUGGGAUUGACCUCAUGCGCAGUAACGGUGCAUCUGGUCUGAAAGGAUCAAGUUGAUGGGCCUCCCAGUGGCGCUCGAAUGUGUGCUAGCGAGACAGUCGUCCCGAUCUCACAUUAGUAGCAUCAUUGCAGGGCUCUGACUACAGCUUGUUAAACCACUUAUCAAUUACGAUCUCAAAUCAGGCAAGAUUACCCGCUGAACUUAA